AAUCCAUGGUGAGGGCACAUUCUCAAUAGAUCCUUGUACCUCUCCCAUGUAUUGUAUAGUGUUUCUAAAUCCAUCUGCACAAAAGAAGAAAUAUCAUUCCGUAAUU
rnacentral:snoRNA from 1 species